UACGGAGGGGGCUAGCGUUGCUCGGAAUCACUGGGCGUAAAGGGUGCGUAGGCGGGUCUUUAAGUCAGGGGUGAAAUCCUGGAGCUCAACUCCAGAACUGCCUUUGAUACUGAAGAUCUUGAGUUCGGGAGAGGUGAGUGGAGCUGCGAGUGUAGAGGUGAAAUUCGUAGAUAUUCGCAAGAACACCAGUGGCGAAGGCGGCUCACUGGCCCGAUACUGACGCUGAGGCACGAAAGCGUGGGGAGCAAACAGG
rnacentral:rRNA from 1 species